rnacentral:rRNA from 1 species
UACGGGGGGGGCAAGCGUUGUUCGGAAUUACUGGGCGUAAAGGGCGCGUAGGCGGCCUUCUAAGUCGAACGUGAAAUCCCCGGGCUCAACCCGGGAACUGCGUCCGAUACUGGAAGGCUUGAAUCCGGGAGAGGGAUGCGGAAUUCCAGGUGUAGCGGUGAAAUGCGUAGAUAUCUGGAGGAACACCGGUGGCGAAGGCGGGUCUCUGGACAGUUCCUGACGCUGAGGCACGAAGGCCAGGGGAGCAAACGGG